AUUGAACGCUGGCGGCAUGCCUAACACAUGCAAGUCGAGCGAGCGGCGGACGGGUGAGUAAUGUCUGGGAAACUGCCUGAUGGAGGGGGAUAACUACUGGAAACGGUAGCUAAUACCGCAAACCAUCAGAUGUGCCCAGGUGGGAUUAGCUAGUAGGUGGGGUAACGGCUCACCUAGGCGACGAUCCCUAGCUGGUCUGAGAGGAUGACCAGCCACACUGGAACGGAGACACGGCCCAGACUCCUACGGGAGGCAGCAGUGGGGAAUAUUGCACAAUGGGCGAAAGCCUGAUGGAGCCAUGCCGCGUGUGUGAAGAAGGUCUUCGGGUUGUAAAGCACUUUCAGCGGGGAGGCGUUACCCGAAGAAGAAGCACCGGCUAACUCCGUGCCAGCAGCCGCGGUAAUUC
rnacentral:rRNA from 1 species